rnacentral:rRNA from 1 species
CUACGGGUCGCUCCAGUGGGGAAUAUUGCACAAUGGGCGCAAGCCUGAUGCAGCAACGCCGCGUGAGGGAUGAAGGCAUUCGGGUUGUAAACCUCUUUUAGCAGGGAAGAAGCGAAAGUGACGGUACCUGCAGAAAAAGCACCGGCUAACUACGUGCCAGCAGCCGCGGUAAUACGUAGGGUGCAAGCGUUGUCCGGAAUUAUUGGGCGUAAAGAGCUCGUAGGCGGUUUGUCACGUCUGCUGUGAAAAUACAAGGCUCAACCUUGGACUUGCAGUGGGUACGGGCAGGCUAGAGUGCGGUAGGGGAGAUGGGAAUUCCUGGUGUAGCGGUGGAAUGCGCAGAUAUCAGGAGGAACACCAAUGGCGAAGGCACAUCUCUGGGCCGUAACUGACGCUGAGGAGCGAAAGCGUGGGGAGCGAACAGGAUUAGAUACCCUGGUAGUC